GUUUAUCAGGCAGUUAAUUAUAAAAAUAUUAUGUUUUUUGGAUUUUGUGAUGCUUAUGGUAUUUGUCCACUUAAAAAAUUUUCAGUUUGUUGUCAUUUUAUUUUCUAAUUCUCAAUAAUAUUUACUUUUGUACCUAAUUUUAUUUGUAAUUUAUGUUCUUCAAGAAGACCCCUCCCCCACUUAUAUUAGUUUCUGUCCUUUCAAAGCCUGAAUUUACUCUAUCCAAGAAUGAUUUGGUGUAAUAUAAAGCAAAAUGUGUGUGUGUGUGUAUAAAACUCACCAAUCCUGGACUAGUUAGUCAUUAGGAUUUUUCAUUGUCAAAUAUGAGAACACUAAAAAUCAAAGACAGUUUCCCCCAUCUUCUCUUUAUCAUUUAAAAUAUGCAGUGUCACUGUAUCCUAGGCAUUAAAAUAUGAUAUUUUCUUUGCUCUUUGUACUGGUCAGGAUAAAUCACUAGUGGUCUAACAAAGAGCCCCAGCAUGUCAGUGGCUUUCACAUUAAAGGCUUAUUUUUCAUUUGUGUCACAGGCCAUUGCUGUUCCAUGCAGCCGUUCAGUGACCCUCACUUCUUCCAUCUAGUUUUCUCCACUGGUUCCUUUGCAUCUGGGUAACCAAUGGGAUGUCAAAUGAUCCAAAAGUCUCUGGAGUCCUCUGUGUGAUCUUCGAGGACUCGUCAACCUGAAAACAGAACAGGAUGCAGGUGUUUCAACUGUGGAUGCCAUAGUGAUGCUGUGCUCUUCCUCUCCCCUGCCUUGCCCCCAUGAGGAAGAGUCAAGGCUGGAUGGAGCGAGUGUAGGGAAGGAUUUUCUCAUAAUCUGAAAGCCCAUGAAGAUCUCUAGACUACCAGAGGCCUUGGAACUGACUGUCCUCACUCCUGUUCCCUGUGGAGAAUCCCAGGAUCUAACCAGCCCCAUGGUCAAAUGGAUAGGGAGAAAAGAACUUGCUGACCCAUCCCUCUCUUUCUUCCUGACCUGAAUGUGGAUAUAUGGCCUGGUCCUGUGGCUGCCACCAUGUGACAUGAGGUACAAAGCAUUAGAUUGGAAAGACAACAGCCAAAAAUGGUAGGGCAGAAAAAUAG
rnacentral:lncRNA from 1 species